rnacentral:lncRNA from 1 species
GCCCAAUUGGAGCAGUGAGCUGUGCAGAGAAAAAUAGUCUUUAAGAUGAAAAUAGCUAAAAAUAUUUUUGAUUUUAUGAAAACCAAUGCGGGUAGCACACAGGACAGUUCUUGAUCUAGUGCUGCUGUGAGAUUCAGAGAGGAUAAGUGAUUUGGCUAGUUUUUUCCCACUCUUUGCAGAUAAUAAGCUAAUAUUAAUUGAGUGUAUGGAUUAGUUAUUACAUAAGACAAAUACAUUAGCUGGUUAAUCUUCACAGUAAGUGUAUGGGGUAUGAACUAUUUUAAUAUCAUUCCUAGUUUGCAGGUGAGGAAACAGAAGUUUAGCAAUCUGUCUAAGGUCAUAUAGUUUGUAAGAAGUGUCUUUUGCUCCCAAAUCUGUCUCGUAGUAACUCUGAACGACUUAUUCUGUAUUAAUUAUUGUUAAAUAGGAAUGAUAUUACUUGCUUUCUAUAUUUCAUGGGAUCAUUAUGAGAAUCAAAAAAGGCAGUAUCAAUCCCAGUGGCUCCAAAGUCUGAGGCAGGAGGAUCUCGAGUUCAAAGCCAGCCUUAACAACUUAGUGAGGCCCUAAGCAACUCAGGGAGACCCUGUCUCUAAAUAAAAUACAAAAUAGGGCUGGGGCACAAAACUCAAGUGGAUCACAGACCUAGGAAUUAGACCAGAGACCCUGCACCUAAUAGAAGAAAAAGUAGGCCCACAUCUUCAUCUUGUUGGAUUAGGCCCUGACUUCCUUAACAAGAUUCCUAAAGCACAAGAAGUAAAAUUAAGAAUCAAUAAGUGGGAUGGAUUCAAAUUAAAAAGUGUCUCCUUAGCAAAAGAAACAAUGAUGUGAAGAGAGAGCCUACAAAGUGGGAGGAGAUCUUUACCACAUGUACAUUGGAUAGAGCACUUGUCUCCAGGAUGUAUAAAGAACUGAAAAAACUUAACACCAAAAGAACAAACAACCCAAUCAAUAAAUGGGCUAAGGAACUAAAUAGACACUUCUCAGAAGAAUAUAUAUAAUAGAUCAACAAAUAUGUGAAAAAAUGUUCAACGUCUCUAGUAAUUAGAGAAAUGCAAAUCAGAACUACUCUAAUAUUUAAUGUCACUCCAGUCAGAAUGGCAGUUAUCAAGAAUACAAGCAAAAAGAAGUGUUGAUGAAGAUGUAGGGGAAAAGGUACAUACACUGUUGGUACUGCGAACUGGUGCAGCUGCUUUGGAAAGCAGUAUGGAAAUACCUCAGAAAACUUGGAAUGGCACCACCAUUUGACCCAGCCAUCUCACUUCUUGGUCUAUACCCAAAGGUCUUAACAUCAGCAUACUAUAGUGACACAGCCACAUCAAUGUUUAUAGCAGCACAAUUCACAAUAGCUAAACUAUGGAAGCAACCUAGAUGCCCUUCAACUGAUGAAUGGAUAAAGAAACUGUGGUAUAAAUACACAAUGGAAUAUUACUCAGCAUUAAAAGAGAAUGAAAUUAUGGCAUUUGUAGCUAAAUGGAUGGAGUUGGAGAAUAUCAUUUUGAGCAAAGUAAGCCAAUCCCCAAAAACUAAAGGCCAAAGAAUGUUUUCUCUGAUUAGUGGAUGCUAAUCCAUAAUGAGAGGGAUUGUCAU